GGGGCUGUGCUGUAGCCUGAUUAUCAAAAUGGUCCGUCUAACCAUUUACGCGGGUUCAAAUCCCGCCUGCCCCGCCA
rnacentral:tRNA from 1 species